CCAGGAAAAUCUUUGAGGGAGGCUGCCAGAGGCGGUGGCUCAGAGCACCAUGUGCCACCACUUGAAGGUGAAGGGCUUCCUACGAACGUUGGUGCCACAGUGAACCUCUCCGUGGUACAUGUGGUAGGCAUAGAAGUCAUCGAUGAAGGUGCAGUGUAGGCCCAGCGGCUCCAGCAGGGAGCGCACCUUCUCCUCUAGGCAGCAGCGGCCGUUAAUGAUGGGGCCGAAGGGCUUGGGGAUGCCCAGGUAUUUGCCUAGGACCACCAUGUUGACCUGCAAGAGAGAGGAAGAGCCCUACU